rnacentral:rRNA from 1 species
UACAGAGGGGGCAAGCGUUGUUCGGAAUUACUGGGCGUAAAGCGUACGUAGGCGGAUUGUUAAGUGAGGGGUGAAAUCCCGAGGCUCAACCUCGGAACUGCCUUUCAUACUGGCAAUCUUGAGUCCGGGAGAGGUGAGUGGAACUCCUAGUGUAGAGGUGAAAUUCGUAGAUAUUAGGAAGAACACCAGUGGCGAAGGCGGCUCACUGGCCCGGAACUGACGCUGAGGUACGAAAGCGUGGGGAGCAAACAGG